CUCAAAAGUAUAUAUGUAUGUAUAUUUAUAUGUACUGGUUUAUUUAUGUAUAUAUAAUUUUGCGCGUGCGUCGCGUGCGCAUAAAUACCUGUCCGUAAGGUACUUUUUAAUGGGCCGUAGGUAUAUCAGUCUGGAUAAUGUAAUACAUUUGUAAUCUGUAAUGUAAAACGCGAAGUUGAGCAUAUGAGGAAUAAUGUUUUGUUGGUCAUUAUCGAUGUCAUUAUCGAUGAAGAUUAAUAUUUUUCGGCGUUGUGAAAUUAAUAGUUAUUAUCCAAAGAAGUGAACUUUACUUUUUGUAAGUACCUAAUUAGUAUAAUAAUAUGCAGUUAUUCCAUAGUUCUUAGCAAUAUUUCACAAUAAUAUAUGUAUGCAACUAAGAGGUCUAUCAAAUUACAAGUCAUGGUUUUGAAUUUCAUUCCGCUGCUUGGAUGGCGAAGUUACCAAGAUAUGAUUUAAAUAGUGUGCAGAUAUUUCCUAAGAAACGAAACCAGGGAAAACGAGAGCAUUUAACACCCACGAUUUCGUAAAAGGCGAACGCGAAUCCCGGUGAAGGGGCGCAGUGGAGGGGUCCGGUCGCCGCUGAAAAUUAAUCGGUCAGCUGUUACUGUCAACAAAGAGCAGACGACGCGAAGGGCGCGGUGGCGGUGGCUGCGGCGGUGUUGAACUUGAGCUCACAUGGCUUUCAACACAAACAAUACUGUUUUACGGCCGAUUUAGUUCUCGUGUUGACUAAGCAAAAGUGAAUCAGAAGUAAUGGAGAAAUCACAAGAGGACAGCUCUGAGGAGGGAUCUAUUACAGAGAACUUCCUGAAAACGACACAUGGCCUGUGGAAGACUUUAGCAGAAGCACUUCAG